rnacentral:ncRNA from 2 species
UAGAAUAAAUAAAUUAAUGUUCAUAUAGUAGCAGAGAUAAGGUCUGCAAGUUUCUACCGGACUGCCGUAAAUGGUCCGACUAUGAGCGAAAGUGUACCUAAG